rnacentral:rRNA from 1 species
GGGAGACUGGAAUUCCCGGUGUAACGGUGGAAUGUGUAGAUAUCGGGAAGAACACCAAUGGCGAAGGCAGGUCUCUGGGCCGUUACUGACGCUGAGGAGCGAAAGCGUGGGGAGCGAACAGGAUUAGAUACCCUGGUAGUCCACGCCGUAAACGGUGGAUGCUGGAUGUGGGGCCCAUUCCACGGGUUCCGUGUCGGAGCUAACGCGUUAAGCAUCCCGCCUGGGGAGUACGGCCGCAAGGCUAAAACUCAAAGAAAUUGACGGGGGCCCGCACAAGCGGCGGAGCAUGCGGAUUAAUUCGAUGCAACGCGAAGAACCUUACCUGGGCUUGACAUGUUCCGGACAGCCUCGGAGACGGGGCCUCCCCUCGGGGCCGGUUCACAGGUGGUGCAUGGUCGUCGUCAGCUCGUGUCGUGAGAUGUUGGGUUAAGUCCCGCAACGAGCGCAACCCUCGCCCCGUGUUGCCAGCACGUGAUGGUGGGAACUCACGGGGGACCGCCGGGGUUAACUCGGAGGAAGGUGGGGAUGACGUCAGAUCAUCAUGCCCCUUACGUCCAGGGCUUCACGCAUGCUACAAUGGCCGGUACAACGGGAUGCGACAUGGCGACAUGGAGCGGAUCCCUGAAAACCGGUCUCAGUUCGGAUUGGAGUCUGCAACCCGACUCCAUGAAGGCGGAGUCGCUAGUAAUCGCGGAUCAGCAACGCCGCGGUGAAUGCGUUCCCGGGCCUUGUACACACCGCCCGUCAAGUCAUGAAAGUGGGUAGCACCCGAAGCCGGUGGCCCAACCUUUUUGGGGGGAGCCGUCUAAGGUGAGACUCGUGAUUGGGACUAAGUCGUAC